CUCAGAAUGAGGAAGACUUGAUCGUCUAGACCUGAGGACUGAGCGUUCCCGGCUGGGACAGGCAUGAGUCCAGCACUUCUGCGAUGCUUGUGGGAGGCCUGCCUUCCUCCCGGGGGUGUGGGAGAAGGGGCCCACACCGAGCAAGCCUAGCUCUCAGAGGCACCGUUUCCUCCCGUCACUGUGUUCUUUUCCUUUACAAGGAAGAGGUCUUGGCAAACUGAUGAACUGAUCAUUCCCACCGCUGUAAUUUUAGCAGCUCCGGUGGAGCCAGAGGGAAGAUAAUCAAACAGCGCGUCCUUUUGAGUAGUUCUUUACUCCAGGCCCUUGAUGUUCAGCAUUUGCUAAUUUCAGAAACAGCCACAUUUAACUUCUUGGAAGACCAGCUCAUGCGCCAUUCUCAGUGCUAUGGGAGAGCUGAAGUAGCCAAAUGCAAAAUGUGAAUGGAUGCACUUAAGAGCAGGCUGGGCACUGUACCACUUACACUGGUAGAUGUGGAGGAAGGUCUCACUGAGCUUGUUGGUGAAAAGAGGCUCGGGAAGGUCCCGG